GGCCCCGUAGCUCAGUCGGAUAGAGCGACGGAUUCCUAAUCCGUAGGUCGGGGGUUCGAAUCCCUCCGGGGUCGCCA
rnacentral:tRNA from 1 species